AGAGUUUGAUCAUGGCUCAGAACGAACGCUGGCGGCGUGCUUAACACAUGCAAGUCGAGUGCGCGUGCCGUAGCAAUACGGUAUGGCGCACGGCGCACGGGUGCGUAACACGUGGGUAACCUGCCCUUUGGUGGGGAAUAACUCCGGGAAACCGAAGCUAAUUCCGCAUAAGAUCCGCAAGGAUGAAAGCCGUAAGGCGC
rnacentral:rRNA from 1 species